rnacentral:lncRNA from 1 species
ACACACACGUCACACACAAACACACACAUAUCACCCACACACACACAUACAUACACAUCACACACACAAAUACGUCACUAAAAACACGCACACAUCACACACACACAACACACACCCACAUCACGCAUACAUCACCCACACACACACACAUCAUCCACGUGACACACGCAUCUCACACACACACAAACAUCACACACACACAGACACACACAUACACAUCACACACACAAAUACACACACACACAUACACAUCAUACAUACAAACACACAAACACACACCACACACACAAACACACAGACACACACACACACAGGCAAAGACACAUCACACACACAGAGACACACAAACACAUCACACGCACACACAGAGGACACACA